rnacentral:rRNA from 1 species
AUUGAACGCUGGCGGCAUGCCUUACACAUGCAAGUCGAACGGCAGCGCGGGAGCAAUCCUGGAGGCGAGUGGCGAACGGGUGAGUAAUACAUCGGAACGUGCCCAAUCGUGGGGGAUAACGCAGCGAAAGCUGUGCUAAUACCGCAUACGAUCUACGGAUGAAAGCAGGGGAUCGCAAGACCUUGCGCGACUGGAGCGGCCGAUGGCAGAUUAGGUAGUUGGUGAGGUAAAGGCUCACCAAGCCUUCGAUCUGUAGCUGGUCUGAGAGGACGACCAGCCACACUGGGACUGAGACACGGCCCAGACUCCUACGGGAGGCAGCAGUGGGGAAUUUUGGACAAUGGGCGAAAGCCUGAUCCAGCCAUGCCGCGUGCAGGAUGAAGGCCUUCGGGUUGUAAACUGCUUUUGUACGGAACGAAACGGUCUUUUCUAAUAAAGAAGGCUAAUGACGGUACCGUAAGAAUAAGCACCGGCUAACUACGUG